AAUUUCCAGGAGGUACCCAUGUACGUAUUCGCCAUGGGAACACAACCACACACAUGCGAACACACACUCGAAUUGGCACGUUGCAUAGGCACAUUUCAGUUGCGUUGCAGUUGUUGCUGCCGUGCCGUGUAGGAGCUUUCUUCUGUGAGUGUCUGUUUUGUGUGUCUGUUUAGAGUGCAGCAGAACCGCAGAUGUGUUAAGUUACCUGUAACCUCGCAGAAAAUAUAAUUAACAUUCAAUUUAACAGAUAGCAGCCUCUCCUAGGACUGCAUGAGAAAAUACCAAUUUAUGAACUUUCGGUUUUUUUUUUGUUUCGUUUUAUUUAUUAUCAAACAAAUCGAUUUGCCCGCGAGCGUACAUAUUUCGCCCGCCAAUACUGCCAACCCCCCAGCACAUUCCUUUAAUCACACAACCUGCGUCAACAGUAAAUACAAGCAACGAAAAUAAGCAAGCAAACAAAGCAGAGAGGCUAAAACAGAAAAGGAAAGAGUAAAGAAAAACUUUCAUUUUCAAUGUCAAGUGCAAGAAAAAGAGAGCAACAACAGCAACGAAACGGCAAGCAGCCGGAUGCCGGCUGAGGGCGACUUUUCGAAAGAGAGAGACAUAAACAGAGAGUAAGCGCUUUAGAUAUGUAUGUAUAUAAUUUUGUCGUCUUCCGCGUGCUUGCAAAAAGCCGCGACGCAGUUGUUUUACUAUACAUAAGUACUUACAGUUUUCAGUGAAAUCUUGAUAAAUACAAACAAAAAUACUACAGCAAGACACUCCCUCACACCACCAUGUGGCGGCGGCGCUGGCAAAGUUGCAACAAGCCGAGCCGCGUGACCUUCGACAACAACAACAACAAAGAGAGAGGAGGCACCUUCUGCAUAUAUGUAUACACCCACACAGAUGCCCUCAAAUACAGAUAAGAUGUAUUGAAAAAUUGCCAAGAAAAAUCUAUGCACAUACAUACAUACAUAUGUAUGGAUAUUUUCCUGAUACUGCACGAUACUCUUAAGCAAAUGUAUAUUUAUAUUUAUGUAUCUUCAUUGUUACUGGGCCCCAUUAACUCACCAUGCUCGUAAGGAGAAAACGUUCCAGCAUCUAUAUUGAUGUACGGAUCAAUUUUGAUGGAUGUCACAUCAAGUUGGCACGACUUGAGCAGAGUUCCAAACGAGGAAGCAAUGACGCCCUUGCCCACACCGCUUAUGACGCCGCCAGUGACCAGGAUGUAUUUCAUAUUUGCGCACGUUUACUUCUCAGAUUCACAGAUGUAGACAAAUAUACAAUCUCUCCUGCA